CUCUCUGUCUCUCCCAAUCUGUUUUCUUGUCCUGUGUUAUCGCCUCUCCUGGUACGCCCGACCAAGUUUAUCUUUGUCUCACUGAUCGUUUCUCUCAGUCUCGACCUAAUUGAUUAAGGUUUUGUUUUAGUCUAUAGAUUCUUCUUUAAUCUGUAAACGCAUUUCUAUGUUUGAAAUGCAUUAUUAUCAUAAGAAGUACUUGAGUUCAAUCUUUCAUUGGUUUAUCUG